AACGAACGCUGGCGGCAGGCUUAACACAUGCAAGUCGAGCGCAUCCUUCGGGGUGAGCGGCAGACGGGUGAGUAACGCGUGGGAAUCUACCUUUUGCUACGGAAUAGCUCCGGGAAACUGGAAUUAAUGCCGUAUGUGCCCUUAGGGGGAAAGAUUUAUCGGCAAGAGAUGAGCCCGCGUUGGAUUAGCUAGUUGGUGGGGUAAAGGCCUACCAAGGCGACGAUCCAUAGCUGGUCUGAGAGGAUGAUCAGCCACAUUGGGACUGAGACACGGCCCAAACUCCUACGGGAGGCAGCAGUGGGGAAUAUUGGACAAUGGGCGCAAGCCUGAUCCAGCCAUGCCGCGUGAGUGAUGAAGGCCUUAGGGUUGUAAAGCUCUUUCACCGGAGAAGAUAAUGACGGUAUCCGGAGAAGAAGCCCCGGCUAACUUCGUGCCAGCCGCCGCAGUAAUAC
rnacentral:rRNA from 1 species